rnacentral:rRNA from 1 species
UUUAGUUUGACGUCCCGAAACUACGUGAGCUACUCUAAGACAGCCUAUUAAUAGGGCAUACCCGUCUCUGUGGCAAAAGGGUGGGGAGAGCUUUGAGUAGAGGUGACAAACCUACCGAACCUAGUUAUAGCUGGUUGUCCAAGAAAUGAAUAGAAGUUCAGCCUCUUGGCUUCUUUGUUCACACUAGUCUAACCCCUAAAUUGAUGCGUAAAGAAACCAACAGAGUUAGUCAAAGGGGGUACAGCCCCUUUGAAUCAAGACACAACUUUACUAGGAGGGUAAAGAUCAUAAUAACUAAAGCUAGAUGUUCCGGUGGGCCUAAAAGCAGCCAUCCCCUUAGAAAGCGUUAAAGCUCGAACAUAUACCCGCCCCUUCUUAUUCUGAUCCCCUUAUCUUACCCCCCUAAACGUACUGGACCAUCCCAUGCCCCCAUGGGAGUGACUAUGCUAAUAUGAGUAAUAAGAGGGCCAAAGGCUCUCUCCCCGCACACGUGUACAUCGGAACGGACACUCCACCGACAAUUAACGGCCCCAAACAAAGAGGGCAUUGGACAACAAACCAAACAACUAGAAAAGCCUCCAACAACAAACCGUUAACCCCACACAGGUGUGCCCACAGGGAAAGACUGAAAGAAAGAGAAGGAACUCGGCAAACACAAGCCUCGCCUGUUUACCAAAAACAUCGCCUCUUGUAUCAUUAAAAAUAAGAGGUCCCGCCUGCCCUGUGACUAUUUGUUUAACGGCCGCGGUAUUUUGACCGUGCGAAGGUAGCGCAAUCACUUGUCUUUUAAAUGAAGACCCGUAUGAAUGGCAUAACGAGGGCUUAGCUGUCUCCUCUUUCCAGUCAAUGAACUUGAUCUCCCCGUGCAGAAGCGGGGAUAUAACCAUAAGACGAGAAGACCCUAUGGAGCUUUAGACACGAAAGCAGCCCACGUUAAGCACCCCCAAACAAGGGACUAAACCAAGUGGGCCCUGCCCUAAUGUCUUUGGUUGGGGCGACCGCGGGGAAUUAAAGAACCCCCACGUGGAACGGGAACACUUUUCCUACAACCAAGAGCUACAGCUCUAGAAAACAGAAAUUCUGACCAACAAGAUCCGGCAAUGCCGAUCAACGGACCGAGUUACCCUAGGGAUAACAGCGCAAUCCUCUUUUAGAGCCCAUAUCGACAAGGGGGUUUACGACCUCGAUGUUGGAUCAGGACAUCCUAAUGGUGCAGCCGC